AUGGCAGCGCCAUGGAAGAUCAAGGAAACAGACCGUCACACCAAUCUGCCUGCUGUUUUCACCAUCCGCCACACAUACUCAUCUAAGGCUCCUAGCAUUCCUCCACCGCAGCCUGACCUUCCUCCACCUCAGCAUAACCUUCCUGCCACAAAUACAUCUUCAUACACUUGGACUAAUAUGUUCGACAAUGCUUGGAACAGUACGUCAGAUGCUACCAUCGCGAUAUCAAAUCAGCUAUCUGAUUCUGACCUGGUUCAGGUAUAUCCAGAUGUCCCACAUUACUUCAGUGUGGUCUCUAUAUCAUACCUGAUUGCACGUUACAGUCUGCCUAAAUUCCAUUUGAAGCUCGAGAAGAAAUAUGCAGCUGGGACUUACACGGUUUAUGAAGCUUGGUGUUUGCAUCUGAUGGAAAAGGUGGAGGGCUACAUUUUGGCCUACCCGCUAUUUGGCGUAGUCCUUUGGGCAUCUUUAGAUAUGGCUGCUACUAUGAUUCCUGAUUUUGGUGCUGGUGUGCAUUUGUCACAAGUUUCAAAAGGCGUAACAAUUGUCGCAGCUGUGUGGUUCCUUCAAGUUAUGAAAAAGAACUUUCUAUCCAGCGCACUUAUGCAUUUUGAAGGUCUAAAGGUUGACAAGCAUUGGUUGGGGGCUUUUGACAAGGUUUCUUCAUUGGGAUUGAUUGCUAUUGGCCUUCUUGGAGUUGCAGAGGCAUGUGGGGUACCAUUUGAGUCGUUAUUAGCUGUUAGUGGUAUUGGAGGUAUUGCAACUGCCUUUGCUGCUAAAGAUGUCCUGGGCAAUGUAUUGAGUGGAUUCUACUUGCAGCUUUCGAGGCCAUUCUCAGUUGGAGAGUCCAUAAAGUUGCCUUUUCAUGCCGGGUCAAUAGAGGGUUUGGUGAUUGAGAUAGGGCUGACGUCUACAUCAUUGAUAAAUUUGGAGAGGCUUCCUGUUUCAGUACCCAACUCACUAUUAGUUGGUCAGAUUAUUGUGAAUAGAUCCCGUGCUCAAUGGGUAUUAUCUGUUACAAAAAUCCCCAUAAAAGUUCAGAGUAUGGAUAAGGUUCAUGCAAUAUCUGAAGAGAUCAUGGAGAAGUUAAGGGCAUAUCCAGAAGUUAGCUUGAAAGCAGACGCUCCUUAUUGUUAUCUCACGAGAUUGGGCGAUUUGUAUGGUGAGUUCACAAUUGGCUGCUGCCUCCAGAACAUGAGAAAUGAAGAACUGCUAUGUGUUGAGCAAAAGAUUCUCAUUGAUGCAGCUAGGAUUAUCCACUCGCAUGGUGUUGAGUCGGGAAGCCCAGUACCCCCUGCAGAUCUUGAGUUGCUGCUGGAAGCUGCUAGGGUUAUCAAGUCUCGUUGCUAUUAG
rnacentral:rRNA from 1 species